CUGCUGCCCCUGCCCCUCUUCUCCCUCCUCCCCCUGCUCCUCCUGCUGCUGCUCUCAGUGCCGCUCUCGCCUCGCUCGCACACGGACGCUCCGGGGCCGGAGCGGGGAAGCGCAGGGCCGGAGCAGGAGCAGGGAGCCCCGCGGGGCGGCUCGGUCGAGAAGAAAGGGGCCAUUGAAGAAUAUCGUGCAGAGUCUCAAGCAGUUCCCGAAUUGAUCCCUCAAGGCUCAGGCUGGUGAGAGGGCAGCUUGGCUCAGAGGCAGAGCCUGGCAGAAUUUUUGAGGAACCUUUGAGCCAGCAGCAUGCCGCUUGAAAAGCCUUUCUCCUUCAGACACAUUCGUGCCUCGAAUCAUUACCAAAUAUAGCAUGUAUUCUUUAAAAGAUACUACUUUCCCUGCAUGAGGUAUCUAAAACUGUUGGAAAAAGCAAAGCUGAAAAAUACAAUGAUACCCCUUGCCAUAUGAGAGACUUGAUUAAAUUAAAAUGCCCCCACAGCCGGCCUUGGUGGCCACACGAACCUUCACUUUACUCGCCUGGGUAGGCGCAUGAGGUACAGCCAGACUCCUCGGGGGCACGGAGGUGUUCACACACGCACACGGCCAGGGGCUGGGCUCCUCGCACGCCGACGGCUGUGUGACGGACUGUGCUGGCAUGCCUGCAGUCAAGCAGCCUGUUUGCAUAUAGGAAGGGGUGUUCAGCAGGAUCGUUGUUAAUAACAGGAAGAUAUUAAAAGUAACCAAAACAAAGACAACAUUCCCUUGUCCAGAUGCACUGUGGGUCUCAGUUACUGUUCUUGCUGUCGUCAUAUCCGGCCGUCACAGAAAUGCUCUGUCCCAAUAUUUUGCCUCUGUCAUGUAGAAAAUAGCAUUACCGGCUCCCCUCCCACCAGGGCUCCAGACCCAGGCACCCGGUGCCCCCCCGGCCCCUUGCCUUGCUGCCCUGUUGCGCUCUGGCUGCUGUUGCAACACGGAGCAUUGCGGGGCAGUGGGUAAGGCAGUGGUGCAUGCCUUAGGCACACGCACUUGCGCAAGAAGCCCAGAAAGAGCCCAGGGCGGCACAUUUGUUUUUACAUUUGAAGUGAAAUUGUGAUAUAAAAACCUCCAAUUUUCAUGGUUUAUGGGGCAGAUCCUUCUACCAGGAAAGGUAGUUCCCAGGAAAAGCUUAAGAAUGAGUAGGAGAAGGAUAAAGUGCUUCCUCCUGCUACUUUUUAACCCCCUUGUUGCUGUGUAAGUUGCCUUUUUCCAUUCCAGGAAGCAGGCUCACAUUUUAGUGGCAGUUCUUGAUCUAAAAAAACAUUCUAGUUUAUUUCACACAAAGAAGAAGAAAACAUUUCUGAUUCAGUGCUCACACUAGAUAGUUGUUUUAGUCCCAAAAACUGUCAAAAAAGGAGGGAUAACUCUCCCUCCCUUUGUUUCUUUUCCACUUUCACCCAGUCCCUGGUCUACUUCCCCUGUGGCUGAUCUCCUCUCUGUGUUUUUCUCACAUAUCUUGUGAGAUUACUCACUCCGUCCAUCACCUGUGCAUUUGACACACAUUUAUUUUCCACAGGCAUUUGCUUCCAUGCUGAAGUCCCAAGUGAGCUCUGUUGUGCAGCACAAACCAGCUGUGUAUCAGGUGCCCGAAGCUGUGGUCACCUAUCUUGUGUGCCGGCCCUGCUUAGGCCUCUCUCUUCUCAGGUGUGUCCUCGACAUCCUUCCCUACUCUUCAGGUAGCGAUACAGCUUCUCCUUCUUCUAGCUCUUCUUCCAGUCAUGCACAGUCUCCUCCAGGAGAGGAGCCAGGUGUUUUGGGUUGAUGCAGGCUUUGCUGCAGGGACCCAAACCCUUCAGAGCUGGCGGUCCCAGCUGGGCUCCUUUGCUCCUUCCCAUCAGUGCUGCCCUGAAUCAUGUUAAGGCACAACAUUCACGAGGAAACAGCGACCCUUGAGCAAAUACCCUCUGCUGUUGCAACACAAGGUGUGAAAAGCAAGAUCACAAAUAUCACUGCGAUAAGGUAUUCUGCAUUUUGAUGCACAUUUGCUUGAACGCUCAGAGGUCCCAGUUCACCUCAACAGCUCUCUGACUUGCAGACAGCAUUUUGCCUUGGUGUUUCUUUCCCUCGUGUGUAAAGACUAACCAUAUAUAAGUCCCUAUUCAGGCCGAAACUGAAGGCUACACGAGCAAAUGGAUUGUUCAUCUACUGUGCACUGUUUAACUGCGGUAUGAAUUGAGCCCUAAGAAAAUGGCAGCCGUUCACUGGGAGUAGCACACACAGAAAUAGAUUAGGAGAGUCAUAAUAACAAGGUGCAAUGUAUAUACCAGAAAAGCCCAUGCUCUGGGUUGUGUGCAUCUGUUGCAAAAUAGCACUUAAAUGCUGCAGUGCUAGGUGGUUAUGCUGCUUGGUUGAAUGAAGGAAAAAAAUGGAGGGGAGGAGGGAAAGCAAACUGUCACCACUCCUCGGGUCGGAGCCCUGACAGUCUGCCCGCUCUGUUGCUCUGCGUGAGCACCUGAACGUUAUCACGCUUGCACUUCCAAGACAUGAAUACAAAUACAUCCCUUAGAUGCUGGCCAGCUGAUCGCUUCUGCCUUGCAAUAUUUUGCAUAUUCAUUUUCGUAUCCUGUUAUUAUAAGGCUGAUAAAUACAAUCCGGACAUUGAGGAAGCGGGAAGACUCAGCAUUCUUCUACACUGACACUGCAUUCCUAGAAGGUAAAUCUAGUUAAGGCAAGUCUUACCCCCCCUGCAGGAACUGAAAAAGCCCCUGCAUACUCUGAGUUUACAUCUUUGAUCCACCAGCUUUACACAUGGAGCACAGCAUGUCUCCCAUGGAAUUUUGCUGAGGGCUAUUUCACUCAUGCUGCCAGUGGGACCCCAGGAGGUGCAGUGUGCGUCUGUUACAGCUGCAGGACAAUAGCUGGGGGUCAAGAAAAUCAGAGGCAAAGGGGCAUCAAAACUAUUUUCUGACUCAUCACAAAAAGCAACAGAGGAAACAAAAUCUUUAAAAUCCUCUCAAGAUGUUUUAAUAUUAAAUAUUAAAAGUUAUACAGAUGUGAUACAAGUCGCUCACAAAUAAACAGGAACUUUGCAAGCAGCUAUUAGAAUACUACACAGUUUGUAGUAACACUACUAAAACCCCCAAAAUAUUGACAGUCUUCUCUUCUAACCCAGGGGUGUGCCAAAAUGCAAAAAAUAAUUCUGGUAACAAGACGACUUACAGGCAAAAUGGUCUCGCAACAUUUCCCAAGCUGUGAAUAGUGGAAAUGCAUUGGGAUCCUGCUUGUUCACAUACACCAUUUGAGCAGCAAACAUCAGGUUUAAAUAGCAGAUCUCACCACAGGAGAGAGACUCUACAGCUCCUGCUGGCCAUCCAGCAGCAGGCAUCUCCCAGCUUGGUCUCAAAGAACUUAAAAGAAGCAAAUGAAACCACAUAGCACACUAUCUAGACUCUUAUUAAUGAACUGUUUCUAGCUGAUGACAGUUUCUAGCUGCUACAAGUUGGAAGUCUCUGAGCAUGAACUGAUACUAGUCUUCUCGACUACAGAGGUGCAAAGAAAACCAGUAUCUUCUCAAAGGUCGGAGAGGAUUUAAUGCUGAACGCAGCGCUAACAGAUGAGCAGAAGGUAUAAUCCAUCUAUUUCACUGUUACAGUCAGACCAAGUUUGGGAUUUUGGGGGAAGCCUACCCAGGUCUUCCCUUUUCAACACAUGGCAAGGGUCCAAGCAUCUCCUACGUGAACUGUGUCUGCUGGUGUCGCUUUCUUAACUGCUAUACUGGAUUAGCCACUAGGGACUGCAAAAGUAUCCCAUUCCGUUCAAGGCCGUUCGAGCAGGCAAUGGCAGGACUACCAGAGUCAUAUCCAACUGGCCUUGCAGGGAAGAGCACCUCAGCGGGGCUGUGCCACAGCCAGCGUCUCAGUAAGCUGGACCAACAGCGGAUCAUCCUGUGAUGUCUUACAGUUUCUUAUAUCCCACCCCAAAGUUCUUGCUUCACUUUCCUGACCUACGAUACCUUCUUUCUGUUCCCUUCAUCCCUAGGUAUGCUUGGUAUUUAUAGAAGUUUUGCUUCUCUUUUCUUCAGCUUUUUUUAUUCUGUUUUCUUGUUCUCAGUAUUUCCACCCGAAGCUACAUGCUUUGUUCUCUCCUUUUGACAUGCACAUUCAGAACAAGCAGCACAACUGUGUGAGCUCUCUACUUGUCCCUGCACAACCAAGGAGAAGAGGGGCAUCGAGUAGAAAUGAAAAAAAGAAAUAGGGAAAGAGGUUGACUUGCUUGCAGCCACCGUGCUGCCUCUGAGCAAGGCUAGUACUCCCACGUGAGCCUAGAGCCACCAACCCACUUCAUACCAAAAGCAAUGACUUUAGCAACCCAAAUGUCACAAGGCUUUGCCUCCUCCUGCCUGACAUUCAGAUAGUGGAGGGCAUGUGGGAAAGAACUCACCCAUUAAAAUAACACCUUCAGCAGAUCUUUCCUGGGCCCGCUGAAACGCCAAGCGGCUGCAGUGCUUCCAACAGUUCAGCGCAGAAAAUACAUGGCUCCCUGGGAUAAAUCACCUUUGUUCCCAGCUCUUCUUUUUCUGAAGUCUGAUGAGUCCUGGUGGCCUCGGCAUUGCACCCAGCCCAAAGGGCAGUUCCAGCUGGCACUCUCCUACUGUGCCGUUGCACUGGGACCUGCCGGGAAAGCUCCCAUGUAAGGUCCCAGUUCCUCCACAUUGCUGGUGUGGGGGAGGUGGGUUGCUGCCUUUGGCCAGUGGUCUCCAUGUGCUCCUCAGAAACCCCAGGGAGAUGAAUGGGCCUUAUGAGCUCUUGCAUACACCGACCUUGAUAUGAUCAUGGGGUCGUAGACUUCAGGGGAAAAACAGACCAGUUCCUCCCUUCUACCCCUUCAGUCAAAGUAGUCUUAGAAAUUCCUUUUAAGAACAGCAAGCAAUUUUUCAGUGGCUGGCGUCUUUCAAAUACUGAGCAAUAUCAUGUAUUCAGAGAGUCACAGCAAGGUUUUUGUCUUGAAAAAGCUUAAUUUCCUGAAGCACAUAUCAAAAUCCCACCCUAUGAAUCCUUCCUGUGCAACAGAGCUCUCCUUGUUAAAAUUCUGCACAAGCAUAUUUCCUCCCCCCUCCCUCAGGUACCAUUCUCUCUGUGUAUACUACAAUAACAACUGCGCCUUUACUAAGAUUGAACACAAUAACCAGGUCUUUGUAGAGGAUAAUUAACAGCCAGCAGUGAAUCUUAGCGUUUAUUCAAUGGGGUAUGAAUGAGUUAUGAAAAUUCUUUUUUGCUGGAGAGGUAAUGGGAUAUUGUUACGUUUGCAUAUGCUUUUCCUCUUGCAUGAUAGCAUAUUUAUGGUGUUCAUAGUUUAAAGUCAGAAAUACAUACACAGAUAUUACGCGUUUGUAUUCAGGCAGUUAUGCCUCAACAUGUUUGCCUCUCUUUCUGUCAUUAAGGAAAUCCCCACUCCAUCUGCAUCUAAUCCAAAUGUCUCAUGUCCAUUCUGAGCAGGAUGAGUAGACCUGAGCCUCUCCAGCUGUUCCUAGAGAUGCGAAGGUUCAUUUCUGGAAUUGAAUUUCCACAGUCUUACGUAAACUGUCUAGAUUAGUGCCCUCACACAGGAUACUUCACAGAGUACUUGGAGCCCCCAAAAAUGUUGAUGUUCCAGAAGCUACUGCAGAAAUUGCCCAACUCUUGCCUGGCUGCGCAUUGCAGGCGCGCACAUGCAUCACCAGAGCAUAUCGAGACGCAACUGCUUAGGUGCAAUAGCCAGAUCGGGAUGUGAGGAGCUUUGUUGGCUGCUGUUACUUGGUUUUGCAUUGCUAAGCACACACGAAAACUUGGGAAUGCUGCCAGAAAAGGAGACUUUUGAUCUGACCUUGAGCCUGUGAAAUGGCUGGAAAAGCAGUAACGUGAUUGCUGGUAUGCCAACGAGUGUGCCAGGCAGCGUGGGCUGGUGUAGGAGUCCCAGCUGUAGAUGGGCCAUGACAGGGAGUUUCCCAUUGCCAGUCAGGGUUUGCUGAAGCUGGAAACAUGGCCGGCCAUACAUGGGUACUUCACACCAGUGCUCCUGACAAUGGACUUCACACCAUUUCUGUAAUUGUUACUGAAAGGGUGGUUUUUUUCUUCUCCCCUGCAACCUAAAAAUCCUGGUUCAGUCCAGCCAGUCAUUCACACUGAAGGUGUGUUUCCAAAGCGGCAAUCUUGAGAGAGGAUGGGGAAUAAAAACAUUGCAGCCCUCGUCUGCAGCGCAGCAGCCCUCAAAGGUGACUUCCAAAGGCAGCCCGUGAGCCUCUGACCUCCCCUGCCCUUUUAUCAUAUUUUAAAGGAGUCUUGAAUUUUUUUUCUUUGAAAACUAGCAGGGAUAGAUGAGAGGUUCUGCACGAUGGUUUGUUUAUUUGUUUGUUUUCCUUUCGAAAUGCAGGUCCUGUCUCUCCCGGAGGGGGUUCUGGCUAACUGGGCAACUAAUGAAACAAUAAUAUUGCCUGAGAUGAGGGAGUGAAAGUCAAGAGGGGAAAAUGCAUUUUUUAUUUAUUUUUUGUUUUUAAUCUGACUGCUUAGCAUUCCUUCUUCCUAGUUAACAUCUACUGGAGUUCAGUCAUCAACUGACAUUUUGGAGAAACAAGCUUUUUUUAAAACAUCCAAGAGCUCCACUCCUCCUAGCAAAGCCUCUGUACUAAACACACAGCUGCCAGCCCACAGAACAGCAUUUCAGGCAAGACUGGCAUUUAGUACUGUGCACAUUUGGGGGGUUAAACAAAGCAAAAAAAAAGGGAUUUGUCUUUUAAGUAUCUGUCUACUGCCUUUUUAACCAUCAUGCAAAAGAAAACAAUAUAAAGAAAAUACAAUUUGCUCUGUAAAUCACCUGUGGACAGCAGACAUGAUGAAUUGGAGAUGUUUAGUUCAUUUGCAGGGAUUUCUUCUAUGCAUGAUAAAACAUGCGCUCUGUAGUCCUUAGCGAACAUAUAUCCUGCACCGUGGUAUAAAUGAAUGUGUAACAUUUUUACCUGCUGGCCAGAAGGCCACUUGACAAGUACUGCACUUGAAAUCAUUCAUUGCAAAGACAAGUUAAAAAUGAGUCUGCUUCUGCACAGGUGCAAAAAAGCCACUCCUCGUACAGGAGGGUUUUUUGAUGUUAAAUUAGGUUCCAUAGACGAUGGAGGAGAUGCACAUAGUGAAUUUGUAACUAUGGGGAAGCAAAGCAUCGCUUCUGACCCAGGUGAAAUCUGAAGUGCUUUGCUGAUGUCCUCCCUGGCUCGCAGGAGGAGCCCUGUGGCCGUGGCCCCGCCGGCCGCACAGCUCCCUGCCUGGGGCUGACAGCGCUCCAGCACCUUUCCCGGCUCCGGCAGCCUCAUCACAGCGACAAACACAAACACGGAUUACUACACUAAACACGUCAGGCUAAGUCAAUAGUUUAAUAACCACUAUUAAGGCUUUUCCAAAUCCAUUUAACAACUGUAAAUUAUUCCAAAAUAAA